CCUACGGGAGGCAGCAGUGGGGAAUAUUGGACAAUGGGCGCAAGCCUGAUCCAGCCAUGCCGCGUGAGUGAUGAAGGUCUUAGGAUUGUAAAACUCUUUCACCGGAGAAGAUAAUGACGGUAUCCGGAGAAGAAGCCCCGGCUAACUUCGUGCCAGCAGCCGCGGUAAU
rnacentral:rRNA from 1 species